UGAAAAGUGGCGAUUGAGAGACGGGCUUUGCUUGCAUUUGUUACGGCUCGGUGCACACAGGUUUUGUAUUGCCCAUUAGUUAUAAUCUGCAGGUAAGGCAUGAUUCUCAACACUCAUUUUUCAUAGUAUGAUACAUUGAUAGAAUAUUAAAAAGAUGAGUAACACACCUCAGUUUGGUCAGCCACAAGAACAAGGAUGGCAUUUGGAAGGGGAUCGACCAAGAGCCACUCCCCAUCCUUGAGCACUUGAAGGCCACCAACAUUGUCCUGUAUUAGAAGCGUGAUGGCACCUAUAUCAGAAUGAGAUUGCAGGCCCAACGUCAAAUCUGGC
rnacentral:lncRNA from 1 species